AUGGAGGGACCGCGGCUCCCCCGGCAGGGCGGGGCGCACUCCGACACGGGGCCCGGCGGCGCCGGCUGGCGCGGCUGGGCUGGGCGCUGGCUUCUCUCCUCCGCCGCUCCGGCUCCGCUCAAUACGCCACGGCCAACAUGGCGGACAUUAAACCUCGACUGGCCGCCUCUUUCAGCCAACCCCAGCGCCACAGCCAUUCCCACACUGCAUCGCGCAGGGGCGCGGGCACAGCGCCGCCCGGGGGAGAGCGCGCGCAGCGCGGGCACGGGAGCGCGGGCUCGAGAGCGCGGGAGAGCCCGCGGCGGCCGGGCGGCGGGCACGGGGCACUACUUGCGGGGGGGUGGGGGCGCAGCUGCUCCCCGCGGGCCCCGUCUCGCGGGGCGGGGGGGGGGGGAAGGAAGGAGGCGGCUUUUCCUCAGCGUGCGGCCCGGGCCGCGCUCUCGCCUGUCUCUCAGCUGCGCCGGGGAAGGCGCGCUCCGUUCCUCCGGGGAUAGGGAGGUUCGGCUGGCCACAGACCCCGCCACCCUCUGGAGGGGAAGCCUCCCUAAGGUAAGAGGACCAACGCCUUUCCCCAAGAGGCUCCUAGCUACGGCAAACCUGGGGACCAGAGCGGGGAGGAGAGCGGGAAACUGCCGGCCCCCACCUUCCCACUCACUUGGGGGCCGGCUGGGCGCCGGACCGAAGGACAGCCUGUCCCGAACGCCCAACUCACCCCAACCCGGGCGGGCGGCGGCGGGGCCGCCCGGUCCCCUUCGAGCGCGGCGCCCGGUGUGGGGGGCUCCGACUGCGGGGCGGCUGGCGGGCCGCCCUGGGAGGGGGAAGCGCUCGUCGCCUCAGGGCCUGGUCCGAGCUCCGCGGCGGGGGACAGCGGACCCUGUCCUGGGCGUCCUGCGGCGCCCCCCCCACCCCCCGCCAGCACCUGCCUGCCGGCCCCCCUCCCUCCCGGAACCAAGUUCGCAUUCGCGCUAAAUGAAGGAGAAACAGGCACCUCCCUGAAAACAUGAAGAACUGAGGCUUUCAGAAACUUGGUCCAGAAGCUAAGUGCAGACACGUGAACUAGUUUAACCCUUGCUUGGAUUUAAGUUACCGGUUUAAGUGAGCUCACUGCAGGCAAAGGUUAGAACUAAUUUAAGCAUGUCUCAUUAGGUAAGCUCGUUUGCGUCUCAAUGAUUUGAUGCAGUAUUCUGCUAUAAGCAAGCGAUAGGAAAUUUAAGAGUCUCACUUGUCUCAGUAAUGUCUCCAAAUGCCCCCAGGUCCGCGCAGCGCAGCGCAGCCAUAUAAAUGUCAAAACCCGUUUCUCCCAGGCCAUGGCAAGAGCUGUCUAGUUAAGGAACACUUCACGUGCUUUUGUAUGUUACGUUCUUGCAUUAGAUCAUAAUGUAAUUCUAGUUCUAUAUUUAAAUCAUAAAUAAAUCCUCCUCGAUGUUUAUUUUAAUUUAAAAGAAAAUUGUGGGGUUUCUCAAUUUAAGUAUCCCUCCACUUUUAAAGCAAAAUAUUGUAGUUUUGUGCUGUUAAGUAAGAAUCAGUAACCAGAACUUGUUCUUUAUCACAUAUUACUCCUGGGAAAUAGAGCUUUCAGAAGUAGAACAUAAAUGUAAGCAUUUGAAAAGCUUAUUUUGCUUAGUAAUAUUAAAAAUCUGAUGUCUGUAAUAGAAACAAAAGUGGUUUUUUUAACCCCAUCACCUCUUUAAUAAUAAUACCACCAUCCUCAACCUUAAACAGGUCCUAGCCACUGGAUGAAAUAUUGCUAGAUGCAGUUGUUAACAUCAGUUUCAAGCCAACUCUUUGCAUGUCUGACUUCCCCAUAUGUCUCCCAAACUGUUUCACCUGCAAGUCAUCCAGCUUCACAACCUCUCUGGGACAGGAAAUUCUCUCUUUAUUGCAAAUGGGUAAUGCAGUGGAAGACAGCUGCAAGGGAGAAUGAGACUUUUUUUAAGGGAGGGUUGUUUUUUGGUGGAUUGUUUUUGUUGUUUUUUUUUUUAAAGGAUAGUGGCAUGAACUAAGGAAUAUCAUUGUAUUAAUUUUCAUUGUAUUUCAGUAGUUACAUCAGAAACAAGUGUUAAAAACUGCAUAUUGCUUUUUAUGCUAAAUUUAAAGCUUAAUGUACACACUAGCUAGAAAUAGUAAUCCUAAAAUAAAUUGCUCAUAAAACGUCUACAAAGUUUUCCACAAAUACUGAAUAAUUUAGUUUAUCCAACUAGCAGACAGACAAGGUGAUGACAAAAAAAAAAAAGUAGCAAUAUGCUAUCAUAGAUUGGCUUUGACCUAAAACAUUAAAUGAAAAUGAAAUACCUGGCAGCUAAGCAAAAAAUAAGGCCAUUAAAUAUAACUCUUCACUCCCACUGAUGAAAGAAAAACAAUACAUAAUGAAAAGCAAAGUAUAGAAAAUAUCCUGAAUUAUAAAGAAAGAAUAUUCAAGUUUAAACUUAUCCUUAGGUGACCUUUGCAUUUCUAACCUCACCAGAGGCUUGAGAAAAGCACAGAACAAGCAGAAUGGACAAUAACAUUUGGAUACAAACAGGACGCAUUUUUUGCUCCAAAGUGGUUCAGAACAACAGAAGAUGGAGAGUCAGCAUCCCACCAUUUGAAACCAUUUCCUCAGGUUUGGAUUCCCACAGACUGCAGAAGCCCUAGCUUUUAGAGCUCUUGUUAUUUUUAUUGGUGCUCAAACCAAUAGACAUUGGUGUCUGCAACUAUUGUUUUCUAUUAUAUGGUAUUGUAUGCCUCUGAGCGACUUCCCAUUUACCAGCUGGGACCUCCCUAACAGCAUCUCAACCCCCUGCACAAUUACUGAAGACUAGCACUCAUGUUAUUUGGCAGUUCCCAUCUCUCUGUUGUUUAUACAGACACGUAAGCAAAAAGAAUAAUUUUUAGCAAAUGUAUUUUCUUUUUAAGCACUGCAAUACCUACUUUAAGGGUCCAAUUCUGACCACCAAUUUUAGGCUCUAGCUACUAUCAGUAGGGAAUUUAUAUGAACAAAACAUACUAUUAAGGAAAUUUGUAGUAUUGGUGUUCUCUUGCUCUGGGGGCCAAAGGACAGUCCAGUGGUAACACAAUAUACUGCAAACAUGACUUAGCUAAGAUCUAAAGAAGCCUGUCGGAGAUGAAGCCACCAGUAGGUGGUCAUAUGUGUCCAAGGCAUACUUCAUUGCUCAGAACAGCAAGCCAGAGAAAUUGUUUCAAAGUACUCAUAUGUUGCCCUCCCCCCAUAUUUACUAAAGCAUUUAAAAUCUAGAAUUGUCUCAAGGAUUUUGACCUCUUCACUACAACAUGAAUUAACUUCUUGAGCUAUUUGAUAAAAGAGGAAAAAUAUGAAGAAUGCUAAAAUGUGGAAGGAUAUGCUAGCCAUAGCGGUUUUAUCUGGCAUACAGGAGGUGGAACAGAUUAUUUCUUAACUCUGAAAAGCCAUGCAAAUACUACUCUGGAAGAGGUGUGGAAGAACCUAAUAUUCUAGACUAUAAGAAUCUGAAACAAGCAAGAAGAUAUAUCAUCUUUUGUUCACAGCUGGGAAACAGUGACCCCUGAAGCAAGUUUUUUAAAAAUUAGUCAUUGCUAUAACUUGAUGCCGACAUGUAUGAUGGGAGUACUACAGAUAAAAAUCAUGAAAUAAAAACAGUGAGAAACAAGACUCUAUGUCACAAGGUUUAGAACAUAAAGACACCUUUUCCCUCCAGUCCUGAAACCUUGUUGAGUGUUGAAUCAAGGAAAAAAUGAAUAGUUUAGAACCCUCAAAAGGGAAGAGCCAGGAGUCCCAGCCGCUGAGGUAUGUUAUCACCCAUAGGAAAACAGAACACUGAUAUCAGAGUGAAUGAAGCAGGAGUUAUAGCUUUUAUUUGAACAGAGUCCCAAACAACGUUCUUUAAGAUCAGCAGCACACAUCUGGGGAACUGUAUUCACAGUAUUAUUGGCUAACUUUGGAUCUGGUUAAAUCUGCCUGGGAUCUACACAUCUGCACUUUUGUGACAAUUUUAGACAGCCAGCCAUCUUCACCCUGUGUCUCUUACUUGAGUAUGUAAGAACAGCAGUAUUGGUAGGAGGAAGAUCAUGAAGGCACACAGAACAUUUUGGUCACUCAGGAUGAGUUAAGAUCUUGGAAAGGAUUAUUUGGU